rnacentral:rRNA from 1 species
CACGUAGGGUGCAAGCGUUGUCCGGAAUCAUUGGGCGUAAAGAGCUCGUAGGCGGCUUAGUAAGUCGGGUGUGAAAACCCCAGGCUCAACCUGGGGACGCCACCCGAUACUGCUAUAGCUAGAGUCCAGUAGGGGAGUGUGGAAUUCCCAGUGUAGCGGUGAAAUGCGCAGAUAUUGGGAGGAACACCAGCGGCGAAGGCGGCACUCUGGGCCUUACCUGACGCUGAGGCGCGAAAGCUAGGGGAGCGAACAGG